AGUUCGAUCAUGGCUCAGAUUGAACGCUGGCGGGAUGCUUUACAUGCAAGUCGAACGGCAGCACGGACUUCGGUCUGGUGGCGGUGGCGAACGGGUGAGUAAUGUAUCGGAACGUGCCUAGUAGCGGGGGAUAACUACGCGAAAGCGUAGCUAAUACCGCAUACGCCCUUCGGGGAAAGCGGGGGACCUUCGGGCCUCGCACUAUUGGAAACGGCCGAUAUCGGAUUAGCUAGUUGGUGGGGUAACGGCUCGCAAAGGCGACGAUCCGUAGCUGGUUUGAGAGGACGACCAGCCACACUGGGACUGAGACGGCCCGGACUCUGCAGGAGGCAGCAGUGGGGAAUUUUGGACAAUGGGGAAACCUGAUCCAGCCAUCCCGCGUGUGCGAUGAAGGCCUUCGGGUUGUAAAGCACUUUUGGCAGAAAGAAACGGCACGGGAUAAUACCCCGUGCAACUGACGGUACCUGCAGAAUAAGCACCGGCUAACUACGUGCCAGCAGCCGCGGUAAUACGUAGGGUGCAAGCGUUAAUCGGAAUUACUGGGCGUAAAGCGUGCGCGAGCGGUUCGGAAAGAAGAUGUGAAAUCCCAGAGCUUAACUUUGGAACUGCAUUUUAACUACCGAGCUAGAGUGUGUCAGAGGAGGUGGAAUUCCGCGUGUAGCAGUGAAAUGCGUAGAUAUGCGGAGAAGACACCGAUGGCGAAGGCAACCUCCUGGGAUAACACUGACGCUCAUAAAAGCGUGGGAGCAAACAGGAUUAGAUACCCUGGUAGUCCACGCCCUAAACGAUGUCAACUAGCUGUUGGGGCCUUCGGGCCUUGGUAGCCCUGGCUAACGCGUGAAGUUGACCGCCUGGGGAAGUACGGUCGCAAGAUUAAAACUCAAGGAAUUGACGGGGACCGCACAAGCAGUGGAUGAUGUGGAUUAAUUCGAUGCAACAUGAAAAACCUUACCUACCCUUGACAUGUCUGGAAUCCCGAAGAGAUUUGGGAGUGCUCGCAAGAGAACCGGAACACAGGUGCUGCAUGGCUGUCGUCAGCUCGUGUCGUGAGAUGUUGGGUUAAGUCCCGCAACGAGCGCAACCCUUGUCAUUAGUUGCUACGAAAGGGCACUCUAAUGAGACUGCCGGUGACAAACCGGAGGAAGGUGGGGAUGACGUCAAGUCCUCAUGGCCCUUAUGGGUAGGGCUUCACCACGUCAUACAAUGGUCGGGACAGAGGGUCGCCAACCCGCGAGGAGCCAAUCCCAGAAACCCGAUCGUAGUCCGGAUCGCAGUCUGCAACUCGACUGCGUGAAGUCGGAAUCGCUGGUAAUCGCGGAUCAGCAUGUCGCGGUGAAUACGUUCCCGGGUCUUGUACACACCGCCCGUCACACCAUGGGAGUGGGUUUGCAAGUAGUUAGCCUAACCGUAAGAGGGCGAUUACCACGGUAGGAUUCAUGACUGGGGUGAAGUCGUAACAAGGUAA
rnacentral:rRNA from 1 species